GAAUAUAUUGCAUGUCUGAAGCAUCAUUUACAUUCGAUGAUUUAAGUGUUCAUAGUGGACUGAGGUCAUCCUGCCUUACACAUGACGGGCUGGCACUUGACACCAUCAAUAUAGAAUAACUGUUUGGAAUUACAGCAAUAAUAAUGUGCAGACCCCCUACUGCAGCAUUAUUCACACAGUACUUUACAGGCUUAAACCACAGACGAAAGCACAGAAGAGCUUUGAGGGGAUGUACAGAAUACAGCUCUUUAUGGAGUUACAUUACUCUCCCAUUCCUCUGUGCUUCUUUAUUGUAUAUUUAUUCAAAAGUGUCCCUGCUGGGAGCUGCUCCUGCAUGCUCACUCACUGUCAAUUACAUUGCCAGAAACACAGCAGCACCUACAGCAACAUUUCUAUUGCUUUACAAUUAUUUCCUGAAGAUGACCUUGGGUCCAAGAUAUUUAUCAGACAUGUAAUAAAAUAAAAAGAGGGAAAAAAUGACACAGCAACAGUUUGCAAAGAUUUGUUUGUGAAGGUGGUGUGAUUUUAGCUUGCAAAUUACUUUGUACUUGCUAUGGUAAUAUAAAGCAUCUCUUCCUCAGAGAUCCAUGUCAACUUCUGCCUCUGUCUAAAUUAAUGCUUCCAAUUAGUCCUGUUUUAUUGUGCAUCCAUCACAGAACGUUCACUGUUUGGGCUUUGAACAGUACAAAUCCAUAUACUGAUAAUUAUGAAAAAAUACAUUUCGUAAGACACAAGUGUUCCAUAUUUAUCAGCAGUGCCUUGGGUGCUUUACAGGCUUUUUUUUUUCCUGAAAUAUUUUUAAUUUCUGCAGUCAAUUUCAUCUUUGUGUUUAGUUACUAAUUGAAGUUCAAAGGCCGUAUGGCUCUUUGCACUGGGUUCAGGCUUGGCUAACUUCAUUUUUUCAGCAUGUCCCUUGAAAAAUGCUCAAGCUACCAUGCACGUGUCCAAGGCACUAACUGAUCUUCCAAGCUACGUGGCACACACCAUGCAGGAGGAAAAAAAUAUCCAGACUUAUUCCCUGAAAUUACAUCAUAUUACCUAACUUAUCCAGUGCUGUUUCCAAAUUUUGCCUCUUUUCCUAUGUGAAAUCUUUGGCACAUGUUAAAAAUGUAUGUGGAAUAGUUUAGAAUGGACUGAAAGGAGGGUAGAAGAAUGUACCUAAGGCACAGACCAAAAUUAUGGUUUCCUAAUAAGCCUGUGGUUUUAAGAGACAUAUAACUGUCCAAAUAAUUAUUUAACAGGGCUAAAACAUUCCAGGUUUUGAGUCAGUCCAGAGGUGAUAUUUCCAGAAGAGAGGAGGAGAGGGAGUGAUGCAAGGCCUAACCCUGAACUGAAACAGAGGCAGCACUGUCUCUGCUCAUUCACUGGGGUCCUGGGAUCAGCUGGACACAAACACCCUUUCAGCUCUGGAGCAGCUGCUCUUGGCAGAGCAUGAUUAAAACAUGAUUAAAAAGA
rnacentral:lncRNA from 1 species